rnacentral:rRNA from 1 species
UACGUAGGGUCCGAGCGUUGUCCGGAUUUAUUGGGCGUAAAGAGCUCGUAGGCGGCUCGUCGCGUCGACCGUGAAAACCCGCGGCUUAACUGCGGGCUUGCGGUUGAUACGGGCGGGCUAGAGUUCGGUAGGGGAGACUGGAAUUCCUGGUGUAGCGGUGAAAUGCGCAGAUAUCAGGAGGAACACCGGUGGCGAAGGCGGGUCUCUGGGCCGAUACUGACGCUGAGGAGCGAAAGCGUGGGGAGCGAACAGG